rnacentral:rRNA from 1 species
UACGUAGGUGGCAAGCGUUGUCCGGAUUUACUGGGCGUAAAGAGCGCGCAGGCGGUCGUUCAAGUCGCGUGUGAAAGCCCCCGGCUCAACUGGGGAGGGUCACGCGAUACUGAUCGACUCGAAGGCAGGAGAGGGUAGUGGAAUUCCCGGUGUAGUGGUGGAAUGCGUAGAUAUCAGGAGGAACACCAAUUGCGAAGGCAGCUCGCUGGGACGUUACUGACGCUGAGACGCGAAAGCGUGGGGAGCAAACAGG